AGAGUUUGAUCAUGGCUCAGGAUGAACGCUGGCGGCGUGCUUAACACAUACAAGUCGAACGAAGCACUCUAUUUGAUUUUCUUCGGAAAUGAAGAUUUUGUGACUGAGUGGCGGACGGGUGAGUAACGCGUGGGUAACCUGCCUCAUACAGGGGGAUAACAGUUGGAAACGACUGCUAAUACCGCAUAAGCGCACAGGAUUGCAUGAUCCGGUGUGAAAAACUCCGGUGGUAUGAGAUGGACCCGCGUCUGAUUAGCCAGUUGGCAGGGUAACGGCCUACCAAAGCGACGAUCAGUAGCCGACCUGAGAGGGUGACCGGCCACAUUGGGACUGAGACACGGCCCAAACUCCUACGGGAGGCAGCAGUGGGGAAUAUUGCACAAUGGGGGAAACCCUGAUGCAGCGACGCCGCGUGAGCGAAGAAGUAUUUCGGUAUGUAAAGCUCUAUCAGCAGGGAAGAAGAAUGACGGUACCUGACUAAGAAGCACCGGCUAAAUACGUGCCAGCAGCCGCGGUAAUACGUAUGGUGCAAGCGUUAUCCGGAUUUACUGGGUGUAAAGGGAGCGCAGGCGGUGCGGCAAGUCUGAUGUGAAAGCCCGGGGCUCAACCCCGGUACUGCAUUGGAAACUGUCGUACUAGAGUGUCGGAGGGGUAAGUGGAAUUCCUAGUGUAGCGGUGAAAUGCGUAGAUAUUAGGAGGAACACCAGUGGCGAAGGCGGCUUACUGGACGAUAACUGACGCUGAGGCUCGAAAGCGUGGGGAGCAAACAGGAUUAGAUACCCUGGUAGU
rnacentral:rRNA from 1 species